ACAUUUCUUGCGCUUUCACAAAUGGAAUUGUGCACAACUCCCAACCGUAAGAUAACUAACCGGCGACCAGUAACGAAUACAGACGCAGUCGCUGCCACAGCGUACAUCUAUAGGCAGAGAUACACUGUGUUGGGCCAACAGUUUUUCAUGAAUAUCUUCAACUUAGCGAGUUCAUUCCUUAUAUAUAUAUAUAGGAAAACAUUGUUCGUCUUGACCGCUACACAAUUUGGAAUUGGAAUCCAUUUGGAAUGGACUAAAAAGUGGAUAUUCGUGGCCGAAAUCAAAAUUCACAACUUCAAUAUAAAAAUAUUUUUUGAGAUGUGAAAUUUUAAGUAAAAUUGAACAGGGUUGGUGAAAGGUUUGAGGAUUACCAGACGACAUAUGGCUAUUGAAAGUGAAAAGAUUUUUCUAUAUUACUGAGGGAAAAAUUCCGAACCAGUUAGUACAUGAUUGGUGUGAAGAAUGAGUGUGAACUCUUAUGCAGACGAGUGCGCGAGUGUGAGAUACGACACAGAACGGUGUGUAAUCCAUAAACGGUGUGCAUUCCGUUUCUAGUCGUUAUGGCCAAAACAUGGAGCAUAGAGGACAUAAGAGUUACUGAUGGAAAAGUCUCGUUAAAGUGGAUCCCGAAACAUUCGGCAAAUCCUCGAGCCACCAGUCGAGCUCCAUCCGGAUUGAACAUAUUUUGCACGACCUAAUUCCCCUGCAAUAGCCUACUUAAUAGGGCAUAAUCUUUAAAAGUUUCUAAAAACGAGACGUCUCUUGGCGCUAUUAUCUUUCUCUCUUCCUGGUUCCAGACCCUGUAUCCCACGGACAUGAAUAGCACGAAAGUAUUCCUUGUUUGAUACAGCAAUCUUACACAGCUCCGACCACGUAAAACUCGCAACUAUGGAACAUGUACUCGUCAGAUGGCCGAGUCAACACGGACAAGAUAUCGGUCAUGAACUACGUAGCGUUCAGUUCGACGAUUCCGUCCAAUAAACUAUUCUAUUCCUAUUUUCGAAUAAAUUUAACCCAUAUAAAAGAUUCAAUGUAUUUCCCUUCUUAAGCUAUCGUGUCGAAAUAGUCUUAUUUCCCUAUCUUCCAUAUAGUUUUAGUAUCGUCUUACUUAAUCUAGCUCCUGUCAUCUUCUAUUUUUUUCUUUCUAUCUAUAUCUUGUUUCUUCAUUUUUCGUUUCCUUUGGUACAAAGCA